GAUGAACGCUGGCGGCGUGCCUAAUACAUGCAAGUCGAGCGAACAGAUGAGGAGCUUGCUCCUCUGACGUUAGCGGCGGACGGGUGAGUAACACGUGGAUAACCUACCUAUAAGACUGGGAUAACUUCGGGAAACCGGAGCUAAUACCGGAUAAUAUAUUGAACCGCAUGGUUCAAUAGUGAAAGACGGUUUUGCUGUCACUUAUAGAUGGAUCCGCGCCGCAUUAGCUAGUUGGUAAGGUAACGGCUCACCAAGGCAACGAUGCGUAGCCGACCUGAGAGGGUGAUCGGCCACACUGGAACUGAGACACGGUCCAGACUCCUACGGGAGGCAGCAGUAGGGAAUCUUCCGCAAUGGGCGAAAGCCUGACGGAGCAACGCCGCGUGAGUGAUGAAGGUCUUCGGAUCGUAAAACUCUGUUAUUAGGGAAGAACAAAUGUGUAAGUAACUAUGCACGUCUUGACGGUGCCUAAUCAGAAAGCCACGGCUAACUACGUG
rnacentral:rRNA from 1 species